ensembl:lncRNA ECEL1P2 endothelin converting enzyme like 1 pseudogene 2
GCACCAUCGCGGCCAUCGGCUAGCAGAACGAGGAGCGCCUGCGGCGCCUGCUGGCUCGGCCCAAGGGUGGACCCGGCGGCGCUGCCCAGCACUAGGUGCGCUCCUUCUUCCGCUUGUGCCUCGAGAUGCGCGAGAUCGAACGACUGAACCCGCUGCUCAUGCUGGAGGUCAUCGAGGACUGCGGGGGCUGGGACCUGCGCGGCGCGGCGGAGCGCCGGGGGGUUGCUGCGCGAUGGGACCUCAACUGGCUGCUGUAAAAAAGUGCAGGGCGUGUACAGCGCCGCCGCGCUCUUCUCGCUUAUGGUCAGCCUGGACGACAGGAACUCUUUGCGCUACGUCGUCCGUGUGAGUGCGCGCGUUGAGCGCCCCGCCAGCUGCCGUAGACCCGGGGCGCAGUGGCCUUGCCCAGGGGUCCCUGAGGGCGGGAGGAGGGUGCGCGAGAGGAGAGGAAGGGAAAGCAGGGGAGGGGAGGGAGCGCACAGUGGCAGCGCGCGGGAGGAGGUCAUAAGUAAUUUCCCCGGGGUAACUGCGGUGUUCAGCGGUGCAGCCAUUUCCCAGCCCUCUGGCAGGCAGUGGGGAGCGGGUGGGGUGCGCGGCAAUAUAUUCAAGCUUAUGUACAAAGCAUUUGAGGUCUAGUUGAAGAAACAACUUGAAGAAUGGUCUCGCAGCAAUUACAAACAAAUACCCUUCAGCAAUUACAAGAAGGCUUUCAAUGACUGAACCCGAAUACUUGGUUGUCUGGGUUAAACAUACGCAUUUGGGUGAUGGCCGCUAUAUUCUUUUUUGUAUCUGAUUGCUAGGGUGAUGGCCGCUAUAUUCUUUUUUGUAUCUGAUUGCUAGGCUUCUGUAAAUGGCUCUGUGCUGCCACCCGAAGCAUCUAUGACCAGGGAAGAAGGAUAGAAGCUUAUUUUGCGUUGGAUAACCAGCAAGCUCUAAGAAUUAAAGAAGGGGGAGAUGUGGGGGGUGCACGACGAUAUAUUCAAACUUAUGUACAAGGCAUUUGAGCUCGAGGCAUGGAAAAAUACUGAGGCACUGUGUGUACGUUGUUUGUGCGUGAGAAUGUAACUCCUUGACACUGAAAACAGGACAAGGAGUGGAAUGUGUGAUAAGGAGCGCUGAAAACAGCCUCCUAGGAAUGUGGUCUGAGUGCUUUUACAAGGCCGUAUGUGCCUCAUGACCCCACGGCAAAAACCCAUCUGGUGGAUGUUUGUGGUUUAACAAGCCUUCUAAUAAAUACUUGGCGGAUGGAUUUUGGGGCGGCACUCUCUCAGAGGAGUUGCCGCCUGCCCCACUCA